AACUCCAAACCUCCUACAAAAUAUUUUCAAUCAAUCCCUGAAAAUAGUAUUUUAUGAUCUUCAUUCACAACACGCUUCUAAAUCGCAUAAUAUAUCUUUGGCAGCCGUUUAAAUUCACUUGAACUCUAAUUUCAGUAAACUACGGAGAAAUUCGAACACUUUCCCUACACUACGUGUCGAACAAUUUUGUAAUAUUUUGUAGAUUUUGAGUGUUGAAAGGUAAUGUAAUCGUAAACAUUGCUAAAUAUUCAUGCAUUAUUGUGUAUGACCAGAAUUAUAAUGUGGGUUGACAUUAUCCCAUGGCCUUAUUAGAGUUUCACUGUGCGGGAGCUAUUCUUCCCAUGACCCGGUAAAUUGUCAUGUCAUGUCAUAAAAACUCACGUAACGAUUCAGUGAUUGAUAUAAUGUUUCGUAGUAGAUUUGGAGUUAAUCCCUGACUAUGAUAACCGAUAUAAGAUGUGGCAGGAAUAUAUAUCUCUUCGCCUGAUCAAGAAUAUAAUAAGACAAAAUCGAGUAUGAUAGUUAAU